ensembl:lncRNA
AAACAUUACAGCUGGUUUUGUUUAUUCUGCACAAAAAUCCUUUUUACUGUUAAAAUCAUCACUUUCAGAUUGGAUUGAAGACAUCCAAACUUUGGAGUGCAUUUGAUCAUCAUCAUCAGAUAUAAAACACAAUGCCAAACAUUUGGGGCAAACUGCUUUUAAUUUGCAACACAGAGCAGACAAGCCUGCAGAGAAAGCACUUUACAACUUACAGCACUUACACAGCUGCGCUCGGGACAGAAGAGAGAAGCCAGAGCAGGUUAGAAACACCAGGAGAAAAUCUUACAGCUGCUGUUCUUUAAUAUCAAAAGCAGAAAAAAAUGCACUUUUAGAAAUCACAGUCACGACAUUAGCAGAGCCGGCGCUCACAGGUCGGGCAGCAGAGCAUCUGAGGUCAGUGAAGGAAGCAAACGGACAAAACAACCUGAGUGAAUGAGCAGAGAGCCUGAAGUCACAUCGUAAAGACUUUGCACCUUCACCUGCAGGGACACCCACGGUUGUGUUUUAUAUUUGUACCAUCAGUCAAACAAAGACUUUUACCAUUUUCUCUGGUGGUGAUUGUUUACUUUGUAAGCAUUUAUAGACAGUAGCCAUAACUGAUCUUCAGUGAGAGAAAGAAAAUAUAUGUAGACCACCUGGUCUCUGGAACACAGGAUAUGAAAUCAAACACCAACCAUUUGGUUAAUGUCAGAGUCAAAUGAUAAGAUCAACACAAGUUUACACAGUAGAUCCACUUUUUCUGACAGCUUCAAGUUUGUUGAUGCCAACAUCUGGUUCAGUUUAACCUCUUUUCCAUCAGUGUAGAAGAAACUGCAAACAUUUUCACAGGAAAUAUCACAGCGGCAAGACUGCACACUUCAACGGCCAAUGACUGGUUAAAUGAAGCACCAGAAACCAUAUUAGUGGCUUCGUCUUUGUGAGCAGUAAUUAUGUUUUUCUUCCUUCUGAUCAUCUCCUGAUUACUCCUCAAACAGCAUAAAUAGCACACCGUGUCAGAUUUGUCAGUUGAAUGUGUUAUCUACACCCACAUCUGCUGCAUAUCUGCAAGCUGCUUUGGAACCCACUCUACCCCAGCUCCUCCUGAUUGAUCAAGUCUGAUGUUACAGACACUCUGGCUUUCUGUCUAUGCACACAGAAGAGUGAGGAGGUCCCAGGACAGAGCAAUGAAACCAAAUAAAAACAAACGCAGAUGAAAAUAACAAAUCUCAUUUCUGCUCUAAUGGCCGGGACUUAAAGACAAAUUUAUGCUGUCUUCUUUACCAUCAUCUCGGCCCCAAAAACCUGAUAAAGCCUGACUUUGCAUUUUUAAAAAAAAAUGCAAACACAUAACCCAAAUCUUUUCCCACGAUUGUCCAUCAAAAAUUAAAAACUAAUCAAAUUCAAACAUUUACCGACACAAUAUUUCUGCAAAGUACACGUCUAAGAACUUUUACUUGAUUAUUCUUUUAUAUUUUUCUGUUUCUGUAUGUUCUCAUGACUUCCUCUGUCAUAUGACCUUUCACUGUGGAAACUGUGUCAGAUGUCUGGGUCGCGUAGAAACUUUGUCCAUCCGUGUCAGACAAAAUGACAGAAUAGUCAAAGCUGCUUUUACUCCUACGCUCUCAGUCAAUCACCCAGAUGCCCUGAAAGCUCAAGCCUUAGAUAUGUGUACAUUUCUCAGACCAACAAGGGAGUCGGUCUUUAAACUGUCAGCCAAAUCACUCAGACGUAUACUGAGUUCUCCAAACAAUGUUUUCUCUUUUUUUUUGUCUCAAUCUGAUCUCUGGAAAGUGAAUGCAGUAAGGCACUGCCUCUUCCAUCAGUAAUCCCUCAAUAAAGUCACCAAUGUGUUGAUUUUACUGUAAAUAAAUAGUAGAAACAAUAUUACAAAUUUCCAGGAAUUGGAGAGAAGAAGGAGCUGUCAGUAUCUUGAAUCAGAAAGCAAUAAGAGCUUAGAAUCAAACAAAGACUCGUGGAACACGUAGACGGAUUUGCAGCUUCUUGUCAGCAGCGAGUUUACCCAAGAGCAUCAAAUCUGCUUAGAGUGCAGAUAAAGUUUGUUGUGGCGAUGAGCUGCACUGAGCAGCAGCCACAGCGACUGUGGUUCAAGCCCUCUUAAUCUCAGCUCAACAUUUCAAAUGUACGUUGGCUGUAAAAGUAAAAAACGCAGACAAAAGAUUAAUCUCUGGACUCGGCGUUACAAAUAAUGUCGUGGGCAAAGUGAAAGCAGAGAACCAAUCAGAGCAAACACCUAGAGGAGCACGGGCGCCAUCAGCACAAACUGCUGGUGCGGUGUCGUUGCAUGACGCUGACACAUCAGCUGAUGGAAACACUGUCACAGCUUUAACACCCACUAAAUCCUUUCCCUUCACUAUUGCUGAUCACACUGAUGGCCCACAACAUCUGUCCAGUUGCUGCUCGCCCUCGAACAACAGGGACAAAUGGGGACGGGUCAGGGACACCGGGAGGGGCUGAGGGACAGCAAAGUCAGCUGAGACACAACAGAGUGGCGAGACGUGCUAAUGCUGCAACGUAGCAGCCCCACAAGAAGGAGGCCGGAAUUAGAGCACGACCUUCCAACCGAUGCUGUCGAUAUUCUGCAUUCUGAUGCAGGGCUCGGGUUAAAGACAAAGAAUAAAACUGAAUUUUGUUUAAUGUUUUCUUGUUUCUCAUGGAUGAGCUGAGGUCCAUAAAUACACAAUCACAUCAACAAUACGUGUAAAAAAAAUUGACUUAGCAGCCACCUCAUUUAAAACGUGCAAACUCACAUUCUGAAGCCUCAAACCAAGCAUCGUAGCAGUCUCUGUGCAGGUGGAGCCAGAAGUGCAGAAGUGCAUACACUAGUGUGCUUGAUUAACAAGGUGCACCUGUAGUGGACUCUGCACCUCACAGGCAAGGAGGAUGGGAGAUUUUUAACUGGAGGAGACUCUUGGCAGGACUUUUAAGAUUAAAAGCUGUACAGCUAAGUCCUAUUUUUUUUUUCACUGGAAAUUCUUUGAAAGACACCAACAGCACAGGCGAGAGGUCUGGCUCAGUGACUCCCAAUUACUGGAAGUGAAACCAGCAUCAAAGCGGUCGAGUCCUUAAUUAUCCCCAAAUAACGUUUAAGUCUUCACCCCAUGCAGAGCAGCUCUCGGGGAGGGAACCAAACAAGAGACAAGACAGUCUUUUGUGGCAGGCUUUAAACAUCUGCUGUUAAGUGGGCCAUUUAAUCACAGUCUGCAAGGACUCAGAAGAAGAACUGCAGCAUUGGCUUCAUUUUUCAUCUGCGGAGGUUUUGUGUGUGUGUGAUAGGGUGGCAAAAAUCAACCAUGAAGCACCCAGGGGGUUGUCUUGAUGCACGCUCCAUCAUCCAGGUGAGUAAAUCCCAAAAAGCUGAUUCUGUUCAUCUGGACGUCUUUAGUGGGAGAGACAUUUCGUCAUCAUCCAGGUGACUUCUUCAGUCUCAGCUGACUGCAGGUUUCCUUAAUCCUAUAUUUGUGUAAUGACUGAAACUAGCAGCACUAUGUCCAAAAGAACAUAAUCAACUGUUUGGGACUCCCAGACGGCUGUUUGUUAGAGUAUAUAUGUAUAACUUUAGUCUAAGGUAAAAAGGAUUCCAAUAGGAAGAGUCUGUCUGGUUGUAGCAUUAGUUGUCCACAAUAAUGCAGCACCACGUGCUGGGGUGGAUUAUAGUCUUUGAGCUUCACCUACGUUAAAGAGAUGAGUUCACUGUAGCAGAGGCCGACUGACAGGCACAAACAUCUCCUUCACAGGGGAUGACAGGUUAUAGUUCCUGUAGCUGGGGGUAAGAAUAGAAAGUUGAGAGUAUGCGUGCCCGUGUGGUUGUGGCUCCUACAGUAUCACUAGCCUAACAGGCUGUCCCAUAAGAGGGACAAAAUGUAUACAACCACACCCAGCAGCUGUUCCCUUUUCUCUCCCUGGGGUUAAGAAAUUCACGUCUCAAUAAAAUGUAAAAUGAGUUCUUCAACAAGAAUUCUUUGGCAUCACUUUGGUUUUAGAGUUGUCCGGUUCCUCGACGCCUCGUCUGUGGCAACAAAAGCUAAUGAAGCCACAUGACAUAAAUAUUAAACACAUGUUAAAGCAAAGCAACAGAAACAGCAGUCGUUUAAGAUCUCAGUGACUGGUUCCAGCCUGUAUUAAAUAAAGACGGUGAGCUUUAAAACUCUGUUGUUGAUUUAAGAUUUUCCGGCUUCUAAAGCAGGAAAAGCUGAUGACUUUAAAGCAUCAAAUUAGGACCCAGCUUGGCACUGACUGCUUGCUUUUUUGGAGCAUCCAGUGGAAGCAUUGCUGCCAGGGAGGAGGUGACAGCUGGCACAAAGGAGAGAAUGAGGCGACCGACAAAGUGAGGAAGCAAGUGAAGAGAGAGCAAAUAACACUGAAAGAGUCUCCGCUGUAGACAAAGUGGGUGAAAAAAGGAGAGUAAAUCUUCUUAGGAGCA